rnacentral:lncRNA from 1 species
CCUGUUUUAUUAAUAGCAAGUAUUUAUUAGCCUCCUUGAUUUACAGUAUGUUUCUGAAAGUCAUCAGUCCAUCACAUUCUUCAGCACGGGGGCUGAGUUGUUUUGCUUGGUCAACACAAUAUGGAAUAUAGAUCUGAAUAUGAGAAGCCAAAUACAACCUUCAUUUUGCAUGCACAUAUCCCACCAACGGGAGGCCCGUAAAUGAAUCCUGUAUAGCCCUUAGACACAUGCAUUUGCAGACAUUUGGGGAGGAGGUGGGAGCUUCUAUACAUCACCACUGGAAACCCGGAGGGUCAUGGAAAUUGUCAGAGAAGAGCCAUCAGGGCUAGAGCAACCUCAGAAAGCAUCACGACGCGCACACCCCAGCCACCAAAUAAGGUGGAAACCCACCUUGUGAUCUUGCUAUUGGGCUUUGGCAUGAAAAGCCAUGUAUCCACCCAUCUCACUGCAGUAUUUGAUGCUCACACAGCACAGAGACCUCCAUCUGCCCAUUACCAUCCCGGCUUUGAUUUCUCCUUUCCCCCCUGUCCAUCUGUCUGUCUGCACCGCUUCUUGCCCAUCACCGCGGCACAUGGGCGCCUGCCCACUGGAACCGCAGCCUAGCCGGCAUUCCCCAGGGAUCACAUCGUGCUCAUUAUGGGAGGCCAGACGAAAUUAAAUUGGGGCCCACUGGUUCUGCCAUCUGAACUUCAUCACUGCUAAAGACGCAAUAAAAGUAAUAGCAACAACGAGCAAGCCUCUACCAGAUGUGUAACUCUAUCCAGUGAGAUUUAGGAAUGAGAGCCGUAUUUUGGGUUUGGGCUUUUUUUUGGUGUGUUCCUCCCCUCCCCAGCUCCAUCUUUCCUUGGUAAUAAUUAUUUGGACCUCUGUGGAAGAUGAAUGUUAAGAGGGUGACUUCUAGGGGGAGAGGAGGUUCAAGGGGUGUUGGGAUGGAGGAGCAACAAGGUUUUAUAGACUUGAAGCAUACAAUUGAAUGAUGAUGCCUAAUCACACAUGAAAUGGUUAAAUUGGGGGGAAGCAGAGACUAAAAAAGCAGCAAAGAGGCACCACUCUCAUUCAGGGGGGUUAUUCAGCUCACUCCUCAAUAAUCAUUUAUACUGGGAUCACACGAAAUAUCACAGCAGAGCAAGGAGCCCUGAGAAGGCAGCUAUGUUUAGCAGGUCCUCCACCUCACCACCAAAUAUCUGCAGGUAAAGGCUCACCCCUGGGUUUCACCAGCAUCCAGGCAGCUCAAACGCACACAGCAAUAGAAGAAGUGAGAUGCAAACCAAAAGUACAGGGUAAACAGGAGAGUUGAUAAAAUAACCUCAAAUAAGCCCAAGAAGGAUGGUGCUUCCCUCUGCCUUUCCCCAGGGUUCAGUCACGUUGCUGCCCACCAACACCAUGAUGCUCCUGAGCCUAGUGGUGCUACUGGUCCCACUGGUCACUUAGUGGGACCCAACACAAAGCUGGAGUUGAAAUGAAGCACAGAGGGUUGGGAAUGUUGCUUGAAACCUCAUUCACAAGUUUUUAGAUCUGUUCUCAGAUCCAUUCUGGAGAGAACUUUCUCAUCUUGUAAAAGCCCAUGGACCAAAUAUAUCACGAAUCCAAAAUACAUAUUAUUUUGAAAGCAAAAUUUAAGUUAAACUUCACAAAAGACUUGACCUUUGCUGCAUUUUAGGGUCAUGAAAGUGUGCUUAGAAAGAAAACACAGUACAGUCAAAUCACCUUCAAGUUUGAAAGAAGCUUUGUCAACCGAAAAAAAUCAAAGCUAAGCCAGCUAAUUCCCAGGUAUCUUGCUCAUCUUAGCCCCUGGUCUGGUAAAGAAAGAGCUUUUCUUUUGUUUAUUAAAAACUCCAAACUUUAGGAGCUUUGGCUUUUUAUACAGACCAAACAUACUUCACUUUUUAACUCUGAUAUGCAGACUGAGCCAUUGGGAAUAUGCUAAAAUACAAAAUCCCUAGGAAUAUUGCCCCACUUGCACCAAAACUGCAGCAGCCAGACAGAAGGAUCCUGAUGACACCCCUAAGGAAAGCACACAGCAUCCCAGGUUGCAGAAGGCAGUGGAAACCCUCAUAGCUCCACCAAAGCCUCACACUGGGGCUGCCCUAUUGCUUUGCAAGAGCCACAGCAGACCAUGGACCCUGUGAGUAACAGGGGACAGGAGCCCCCCAGCACUUACAAGAGGCUCCCAACACACUCAUCACAUGUAUUUGCAACUUUAAGGCAACACAAAUUCUGCAGCUAUUUUAAAGUUCUAAGAGUUGGGGGGUUUAACAACUGUAUUAAAAAAAUUUAUACAUUUUAAGGACUAUCUCACUUUACCUUCAACACCUCAAAAAAGGACAAGUGUAACUUUCCCCGCCUCUGUGCUUGCAUUUAGCUGUCACUGCUUCCUUGCUGUCUGCUUUUCCUGGGAGAAACAGCCUCCUUGCACUGGCUGCUGCAGGAGAGAUGAGCCACAGCCGGAGAAAGCAGAGCAUUUCAUACCCAUUCCACCAAACAGAGCGUCAAAAACACAACCAACUAUCCCAGAAGCCAUCCAGGAACUGAGUUUUGCCCAUGCUCAGACAAAAUAAGGAUAAAGACCCCUAAACCUGACCAGCACACUGAGAAACCCUUCUAAAGCAGCUUCCCAGCUGCCCUUCAUUACAAGCAUUACAGGCCUGCUGUAGAUAGGUACCAGGUGAUCCCUGGCUUGCAAUUUGGAGGAGAGAGCAGAGCAACCCCCCUUUGCAAUUAAUAACUCCAUUAGCCCUGAUCUGAUGCAGCUGCCUGGUGCAGAGAUACCCUGGGGCAGGAGCUGGGAUGCCAGCAGCUAAUGGGAGCAGCUAACUUCUUACUGAUGGUGUGUUUGUAACCAAUAGGAUCCUUAAUGCAACAGGAUUCACCCUUCCAAGGCUCAAAAAACACCCUUAUAAGCACACACAAAGGUGAUAGCACAGGCUGGGAUAGGAAGAACCUUUAAAAACAUUUCCUAGUAGUAAAAAAGUUUAGAGUGUGUGAAAAUUUUGGACCUCAAAGACCAAAUUGCCUUAAGAGAAGCAGCAACAGCUCCCUUUGGGUCAAGCCAGGAGCCCAGGGAGAUGGUGCAUAGGCACGACUUGACCCUAUAGCUGUAUGUAGAGGUUGUUCUGCUGC